rnacentral:tRNA from 1 species
GCCACCCUGGCUCAACGGUAGAGCACCGCUUUCGUAAAGCGGAUGUUUCGGGUUCGAAUCCCGAGGGUGGCU